rnacentral:ncRNA from 1 species
CCGAUAAAGGCAAAAUUAUCGAAAGGUAAUGACGCAAAACUAUAGGGCCUUAAUUCUACUUAGUAUUAAGUAGAGCUGGUAGCCAGUUACCGA